AGGUGCGAUCAUACCAACACUAAUGCACUGGAUCCCAUCAGAACUACGCAGUUAAGCGUGCCUGAGUGAGAGUAGUACUAGGAUGGGUGACCUCCUGGGAAGUCCUCGUGUUGCAACUC
rnacentral:rRNA from 2 species